rnacentral:rRNA from 1 species
UUCCAGACUCCUACGGGAGGCAGCAGUGGGGAAUAUUGGACAAUGGGGGGAACCCUGAUCCAGCGACGCCGCGUGAGUGAAGAAGUAUCUCGGUACGUAAAGCUCUAUCAGCAGGGAAGAUAAUGACGGUACCUGACCAAGAAGCCCCGGCUAACUACGUGCCAGCAGCCGCGGUAAUACGUAGGGGGCAAGCGUUAUCCGGAUUUACUGGGUGUAAAGGGAGCGUAGACGGCAGCACAAGUCUGAAGUGAAAUGCCGGGGCUUAACCCCGGAACUGCUUUGGAAACUGUGCAGCUAGAGUGCAGGAGAGGUAAGUGGAAUUCCUAGUGUAGCGGUGAAAUGCGUAGAUAUUAGGAGGAACACCAGUGGCGAAGGCGACCUUCUGGACGAUAACUGACGUUGAGGCACGAAAGUGUGGGGAGCAAACAGGAUUAGAUACCCGUGUAAC